UACAGAGGUCCCAAGCGUUGUUCGGAUUCAUUGGGCGUAAAGGGCGCGUAGGCGGCGGGGUAAGUCGGGUGUGAAAUCUCAGGGCUCAACCCUGAAACUGCACUCGAUACUGCUCUGCUUGAGGACUGGAGAGGAGACUGGAAUUCACGGUGUAGCAGUGAAAUGCGUAGAUAUCGUGAGGAAGACCAGUGGCGAAGGCGGGUCUCUGGACAGUAACUGACGCUGAGGAGCGAAAGCGUGGGGAGCGAACAGG
rnacentral:rRNA from 1 species